rnacentral:rRNA from 1 species
CCUACGGGAGGCAGCAGUGGGGAAUAUUGGACAAUGGGGGCAACCCUGAUCCAGCCAUGCCGCGUGUGUGAAGAAGGCCCUCGGGUUGUAAAGCACUUUCAGUGAGGAAGAACGCCUGGUGGUUAAUACCCAUCAGGAAAGACAUCACUCACAGAAGAAGCACCGGCUAACUCCGUGCCAGCAGCCGCGGUAAUACGGAGGGUGCGAGCGUUAAUCGGAAUUACUGGGCGUAAAGCGCGCGUAGGUGGCUUGAUAAGCCGGUUGUGAAAGCCCCGGGCUCAACCUGGGAACGGCAUCCGGAACUGUCGAGCUAGAGUGCAGGAGAGGAAGGUAGAAUUCCCGGUGUAGCGGUGAAAUGCGUAGAGAUCGGGAGGAAUACCAGUGGCGAAGGCGGCCUUCUGGACUGAAACUGACACUGAGGUGCGAAAGCGUGGGUAGCAAACAGGAUUAGAUACCCCAGUAGUC